rnacentral:rRNA from 1 species
UACGGAGGGUGCGAGCGUUAAUCGGAAUAACUGGGCGUAAAGGGCACGCAGGCGGUCUUUUAAGUGAGAUGUGAAAUCCCCGGGCUUAACCUGGGAACAGCAUUUCAGACUGGGAGUCUUGAGUACUUUAGGGAGGGGUAGAAUUCCACGUGUAGCGGUGAAAUGCGUAGAGAUGUGGAGGAAUACCGAAGGCGAAGGCAGCCCCUUGGAAAUAUACUGACGCUCGUGUGCGAAAGCGUGGGGAGCAAACAGG